UUUCCUUACUACUAAUAAACGACAAACUUCCAAGAGGUCAACAACAUAAAAAACCAGGAUUUCUAUUUGGUAAAUUCUAGCCAUUUAAAAAUGGAUUGGAGAGGGAUUAGCAAUGGAUUCCACAACAAAAAAAACAUCUCUCAUUAAACGCGGAUUUUCAAUUUUUCUUAAUUGUUUUCAUUGAUUUUCCAUUAUCUCCUAUUUUCCGCCCCCACCCACAAUCUCUAUAUUUUUAACUUAAUUUCAUUUGACACCCCCCACCCUAACAUCCAGUCCGGUCACCCCCAAUCCUAACAUCGUCGAUUCUAGCAACCGCUACCCUGUUAUCUCCGAUUCCAGCCGCCUCCACACCUAUCGUUGCAAAUUCACGAAUUUAGGUACACAACUUUUUUUAAGGACGUCAAGUAUCAAGAAUAUUUAAGCUAUAUGUCACGGAGUCAAGAUUGUGGUUUCUCUUUGAGGCGUCGACGUCCACUGUUAUGUUAUUUGUUGGACGUCCCAACAACACAUCAUCAAGACGAAGACUUUCAGGGAAAAUAAGUGGCCAAUAUAAAGCCUUUACAGGAGUAUUUACAGGAGUAAAGGUAGCUGUCAAUUACACCUAUAAGUGGGCUAAGGCAAGAUCGUCGGCAAUGGAUCGCAUGUCGUGAAGAUAUUUAGUAACAGUGCGUGAUCCUUUUGGAUUGGUGGUAAGUUUAGAUUUGAGCGAGAUGAUUCAGGAACGAGAAGCGUUGGCAUAGCUUGUGGUGAGACGGAACCAAGCUUCAUAUGAUGUUUCAGCAGAAGAUAGCAAGGGUUGUAUAACAUCUGUGCAACUACCAAGUAAGGCACUGAACAAGAUCUGAUCUUGUCUGUACCAGUGAGAUUACUCAGCAUUGGUUUUACUGGGAGGUUUUGAAUAACCAUCGAUGAAGUGGAGGAGAUCAAGGCCAAUGAGGGUGGAACGAACUUGGUUUCGCCAAACAAGAAAAUUAGAUGCAAUAAGUUUGAUAGGGAAGUGGGUAGUGGCCGUGAGAUGAAUGAUGGUGGUAGAAGGAGUUGAUUUAUCUGACAAGAUUGUGAUGAUUCUGCAGGUUUGAGAAGAAGGAAGGCAAUGGGGAUCGAGAUUUCUCAGAGGAGAAAGAGAGCUCUUGAUACCAUUUUGAGGGAUUCAGUAAUUUCAGGUACUAAUAUGCUUUUGAAGAAGAGAUGCUGCGGCACCAGUUUAAUUUCAUAUUUUGACAUCAUAUUGUAAUUGGUUUUGAACAUGUAACUUUUGACAAAUUUAAGCUUUCAAUUAUAUAUAUGAUGGUUGUAUUGCUUUC